UCCUCAUAAUUAUGACUUUUUACCUCAUUAUGACUUAGUAUAUCAUAGUAACUUUUAUUUCAUUAUGACUUCGUCAAUUAUAAUUGAGAUAAAAAUCGAAAUGUUAAUUUUAUUUUUCUCAUAAUUGAUGUCAUGAUUUUAACUUUUCCUCAUAACUAUUACUUUUUAUCUCAUUAUUAUGACUUAGUAAUAGUAUGACAUAAAUUUGACAUUUUAUGUCAAAAUUUGUACUUUUUCCCUGAGAAUAUCGACUUUUUAAUCUUAUACGGAGCCCCAAAGGGGACAUGGUGGUGGAAAAAAAUAUGAGAUGGGAGGAAAAAUAAUAUGUUGGUGCUUUGGCGUUCUCUCGCAAAAACUUUUGUGUUCUUUGCGAGAGAACAAAAAAGUUUAUCAGGGGAAUGCAAACAUUUUGUGAAUGAACUCAAAAGCAUGGACAAAUAAUUUUUCCUCCCAUCUCAUCUCUUUUUUUCUUCACUAUGUCCCUUUAAGGCCUCUGUAUAAUUAUGAUGUAUGCAUAAUUUUUUUCUUAUGUGACAAAAAUAGAAUGGAAAUGGAAAAAAACAUUCAUGCUUUCAGAUGGUGUAGUUACCAGUAUCCACCAGCAGAGGCGAACUAGAUCACGCUAAACCCUGACUUUUUGAAAAAAUACUUCCAGUACCUGCUUAAAAGACCCAAGAGCUGAAAUCGUUUGCAGGAUUGAUUCAUAUCAAGCCACUGGAAGACCAGCCAGAAGAACUCCCUCACCUUUGCUCUCCAAAUGUUCGUCAGCUCACCAGCCAAAAACUGAGUCAAACGAUUUCCCUCCACAUCCUCACUAUUUGUCUUCAUCUACCAGCUUCAUUUACCCCUGGAGGUCUUUGUAAGGUGUCCAAAUGACUUUUACAGAGUAUGUCCUGCCUGUUGCAUUUUCAGAUUCAGAUUCAAAUAGAGCGUCUUUCAGCAAAGAACUCAUACCGGUUUGGAACGACAUGUGGCUUCUUCCAUCAGCGAGCAGCUUGUAUCCGGUGGGACAGGAGCAGUGGUACGAUCCCGGGACGUUUACACAGGCAUGGCCACACAGAGGCCCUCCAC